rnacentral:rRNA from 1 species
UACGUAGGGGGCAAGCGUUGUCCGGAUUUAUUGGGCGUAAAGAGCGUGUAGGCGGCUAGAUAGGUCCGUUGUGAAAACUCGAGGCUCAACCUCGAGACGCCGGUGGAAACCAUCUAGCUAGAGUCCGGAAGAGGAGAGUGGAAUUCCUGGUGUAGCGGUGAAAUGCGCAGAUAUCAGGAAGAACACCUAUGGCGAAGGCAGCUCUCUGGGACGGUACUGACGCUGAGACGCGAAAGCGUGGGGAGCGAACAGG